rfam:Camelus ferus unplaced genomic scaffold scaffold1358, whole genome shotgun sequence.
GAGGGUGUAGCUCAGUGGUAGAGCACAUGCUUAGCACGCAUGAGGGCCUGGGCUCAAUCUCCAGUACCUCCA